CAGCGCAUGCUGCUUGGUAAUCACUGAGUUGGCUGGACUGUCUUCUCUGGGCUGAAGUCAACAGGGAGCAGGACUGUAUACUCUUGCAUUUGAGGAUUUAACCUACUGCAAUGUGGUCAUGAUGGCUGAGGAUAGAGGUGGAACAGGUGCCAUGCUGCUAUCACAAGACGGAGACCACAUACUCUAAGAAUGCUGAACAGAAAAAUAAAAGGAGUCUGAGUCCCUGAUGACAUAAUAGA
rnacentral:lncRNA from 1 species